rnacentral:rRNA from 1 species
UACGUAGGGGGCUAGCGUUGUCCGGAAUCAUUGGGCGUAAAUAGCGUGUAGGCGGCCCGGUAAGUCCGCUGUAAAGGUCAAAGGCUCAACCUUUGAAUGUCAGUGGAUACUGCCGGGCUAGAGUCCGGAAGAGGAGAGUGGAAUUCCUGGUGUAGCGGUGAAAUGCGCAGAUAUCAGGAAGAACACCCGUGGCGAAGGCGGCUCUCUGGGACGGUACUGACGCUGAGACGCGAAAGCGUGGGGAGCGAACAGG